rnacentral:rRNA from 1 species
UACAGAGGAGCCAAGCGUUGUCCGGAUUGACUGGGCGUAAAGCGCACGCAGGCGGCAUCGCGCGUGGGGUGUGAAAUCUGGCCGCUUAACGGCCAGGCGCCAUCCCAUACGGCGAGGCUGGAGCGAUGCAGAGGUCGGUGGAAUUCCGGUCGGUGAGCGGUGAAAUGCGUCGAGUAUCGAGAGGAACACCCGGGGUAACGCGC